rnacentral:lncRNA from 1 species
CAAUAGCAGUUCCACCGCGCUUAUUGCGCUAGCAUUGAUCACAGACGUUACUAAAAGUGGCGUAUGAAUUCCAGGCCGUAAUAAUAGGACCAUGGGCUCCCAAAGCAGUGGACUGCACAGUGUGCGUGCUGUGUAUACUUUUGUCCCUAAUGCUACCAGAGACCUUCAAGAUGACGCUUCCGGACACUGUUGAUGACGUCAAAAGAAGAAGCACGAAGAAUGCCUCGAAAACAAAACCAGAUGGCCUGGACAAAUUAAACGAAGAAUUUCUUUGCGUAACUGCUACUGAAGAGCAGGAUGCCAUUCAGAAAUUGUCACAGGACGGAGAAAGGAGGCCAUGAUGAGCAAGUACAGCGAAAGACAACUAAUUCACAAGUAUUUGUGGGCAUGUCAUGCGACUGACGUGAAAAAAAGAAACAGAACGCUACUGUGAAGAGGUGCUAUAGCUAAGACAUCACAUACAACUAUUUCCAGAAGUGUAUCUAAGGAAAUUUUUUUACUGACACCUAAAGAGUUGUUAAGCCAAUACGACCAGUGCAAUAAACAUUGGUUUUAGUAAUUC